UAAAGGGGAAGCGCGGGGCUGGGGAGCGCUGGGCGGGGGGCGGCGGGCGCGCUUGCGCGGAGCGGGCGGGGCGCAGCUUCCCCCCCCCGCGGCGGGGAGGGGCCGUGCGGCCGCCGAGGCGCGGCUGGGCUCCCCGGUGUGCGGCCGGUCGGCUGCGCCGCGGCAGCCUUCGGGGGGCGGAGGCGUCACGUCCGGCCUGCGGUGGCCGGAGCUACGGCGAGAGGGUUACCUGGCCGGCCCGCCCGCCUUCGCCCCCGCGGCCGGGCCGGCUCCUGCUUUCCCGCCCGGCGGGAGCGCCAGGGUGCUGGGAGGGGGGCUGCCACUGCCGGGUGCGCUGAGGUGAUUGAGGGAAAGAGCCCCCCGAGCCUGCCCUGUUCACUGACACCCGGUGUGCGCGACCUGAAUUUUUUUUUUUUUUUUUUUUUUUUUGUUACGGGGCUUCUUAAGGCUCUGGUGGGCUUAGCGGGCAGUGGCCCGAGGCCUGUAAGGCAGCUGGGCAGGGAGAGGGGCCUGCCAGGCUGUGCCGUGGCUGGGCUGUGCCUGCGCCGGAGGGCAAACCUGUGGCGUUGGCUGCUCUGGGCCUAGAAGAAAAGGGAUUUGUGUGACAGAUGCCUUGCCAAUUUUCACAAAUGGAUUUAAGCCUGUGUUUGUCACCUUUGAAUAAUCCCCUGUGGUAGCAUGGAGAGGUACUGUUUCUCCUUUUCUGCCUUGGUAGGGAAAAGAGAAGGAACAUAGUCACAGGGCUCGAUAGCAUGUGGUUUGUGCUUCAGAGCCUAGGUUGUUCCCAUGGCUGCUGGAGCCUACAGCUCUGGUAGUUCAAUGGACUUAAGUGUAUUAGGGACCAUAUUUUCCACUGGCCUCAAAUGCUUUAGUUUUUACUUUUACAGUGUUGUUGCAAGCCAUCUUCAAGAUAGGCUUUGCAGGUCAUAAUGAGUCAGGCAACAGAUGUCUGGCCUUAUAAUUCAUGAGUUACGUUCUUGGACCAUGGAAACCACGAAGAAGAAAGGACAGGGAGUUGUGCGUUUGGAGUGUGAGCUCAGAGGGAGGAUUAUAGGGAAGAGAAAAGAGCAUGUAGCAUGGGUAGCUGAGUAAGUGGAGGCGAGUAAGAUGUAAGUGUAGAACUGGUUCCUGAAAAGGAGGCAUAAUCAUACUUCCAUGCCAGAGCAAUGCAUAGCAGUUGGAGUAUAUCAGUGAAUAUGGCCCUUAAUGUUUAAGGGUUUGUACUGUAGGGUUUUUUAAUGCUUAGAAAUAAUAUGCUAUUACUCUUCUGUUGUGUCUAAUUGUAUUAGACUUCAGUACUCAUAAAAUUAGCCCUUGUCUUACUGUAGACUGAUAUCCUAUUCCUUUGUUCUUAAUGAUUCUACUGUUUACCUUGGUCAUCUUCAGAAUCAAGAAUCCUGAAUUCGGGGGAUAUUGACUUACUGUCUCAAAUAGAAGUAAAUAAGAUGCAGAAGAGCAUACUGAAAGUAGUCUGCCAUAAGGGGUAAAAAAAUGAAAAACACUAUGUACAUGUGUAAAACCAAAUGUAAUCUAAGGUAGGAUUAUAAAUAAUCUGUGUAUUAAUCAUAACUGUUUAUUGCACAGUGACAUUGUGCUGAGGUGGUUUGAGUGUUCUGUUUGAAUAUUUCCAGAAACCAGUUUGUUUAGAAUUUUCUUUCAGCAAAACCUUAACCCUAUUUCCGGGGCUUAUAAUGUUGUUUCAAAAAUAAUUACAACAUCCCUGUAACAUGUUUCAUUCCGUACUGCAGAUGAAUAUUCCCAGUUAUAUCUCUACUGUUCUGUUCUGCUUUGGGGAUUAAUGUUUCCAAUUCUUUGAAUUCAGCAGCAUUUGCACAGAACUUCUCUUUCACCUUGGUUGUAACAAGACUUGUUUCCUUGGCACAGUCAAAUACAGAAUUCCUUACAAGUCCAAAAGUUUAAUAAUCUUAUAUUGCACAAUAAAAUGUUACAUCUGAUUUUCAGGUUUAGAUGAGCAGCUAGACACUAACGUUUUAUUUUUUAUUUUGUUUUAGUGCUGUGAGAGUCAAGAUGUAUGAUGGCACAAUUUUAUUUUAAAAAUGACAGCACAUACAUCAUUCUACAGUCAAUAAGCUCAAUGCCCAAGUAGGUCACCAGUGGAAUGGAUCUUGAUUUUGAGGUGCAGUAUGAAGGAGCAGAUUAAUCUAAGAGGCAUCUGUAUGACCGCAUGAAAAGACGGCACAUGUGUUACUAGAUCAAGAAGAGUUUUCUCAUUUCCAAGUCUCUGUGCAUCUCAGCUUCCUCCAAAUUUCAGGUUGAUGUGGAUAGAAGGGCACCAGCCCUUUUUUUCAUCCCUACUUCACCAUCUGGCUUCUGCACAAAGCCAUCAGAGGUGUGCUGGCUAAACAGGGCUGUAGCACACACCAUUGGCUCCCUUAGGUGGGUGUUUAGGGGAACAGGACUCUGGGUGCAUGAGAACACAUUAGCAGGGAAAACCACCUUGGAAAAAAAUGGACUCUCCCAAAACAAGGCGCACAAGCUCACUCCUUACAUUUGGAAAUGCAGACUCUAAGUUUCAUGCUAACUUUAACUGCACAUCAUUACCUGUUUCAAUGGCAAUAGCUGGCAUUUAUUCUUCCAACUUUUACUUUGUAUAUCAGUCACUCUGGUCUUGCAGCCAGGUGACUCUCCCUUUAGUUCACAACUUCUCUUUGCAAUAGGGUUUAUAAGGUAACAGAGAACUUAACAUUUUCUCCAUCAAAAUUUUGCACGGUUGCAGUUGUUAAUGUUCUGCUGCAAUGUUUCUUCUUAUUGAUGACUUAAGAGAUUUAUAUACCCAAUAGUCACUACCAUCAGGCAAUUCCAUCUGUAUAACAUGAAGCAUGUUACAUGGCUCAUUUUGGGUUACUCUGGCUUCAUGGGCAGUUUCUAUGGCUUUUGGGAACUCUCCCUCCUGGAGGAGGAAUGCAGUCUGACUUGAAAGGUGGGGAUUGUUUCAGAGAAAUAAACUGAUUUCAGAUGUGCCAUA